rnacentral:rRNA from 1 species
UACGGAGGGUGCAAGCGUUGUCCGGAUUCAUUGGGUUUAAAGGGUGCGCAGGCGGGCUAUUAAGUCAGGGGUGAAAGCCGGUUGCUCAACCAUCGCAGUGCCUUUGAUACUGGUUGUCUUGGGUGACCUUGAGGUAGGCGGAAUGGGUGGUGUAGCGGUGAAAUGCAUAGAUACCACCCAGAACUCCGAUUGCGAAGGCAGCCUACUGGAGGUUCACCGACGCUCAGGCACGAAAGCGUGGGGAUCAAACAGG